rnacentral:tRNA from 1 species
GGGAGAGUAGCUCAGUGGCAGAGCGUUUGCCUGUUAAGCACAAUGUCGAAUGUUCGAUCCAUUCUUCUCCCG